AAGGGGAGCAAUCCCUGAGUAAAGUGGCGACCGGGUGAGUAACACGUGACUAACCUACCCUCGAGUGUGGAAUAACAUCGGGAAACCGAUGCUAAUACCGCAUAACAUCGCAAGAUCAAAGGAGCAAUCCGCUUUUGGAGGGGGUCGCGGCUGAUUAGCUAGUUGGUAGGGUAAUGGCCUACCAAGGCGAAGAUCGGUAUCCGGCCUGAGAGGGCGCACGGACACACUGGAACUGAAACACGGUCCAGACUCCUACGGGAGGCAGCAGUGGGGAAUUUUGCGCAAUGGGGGAAACCCUGACGCAGCAACGCCGCGUGGAGGAUGAAGCCCCUUGGG
rnacentral:rRNA from 1 species